ACCGAACCAAGGCAAAUCCGUACGAAAGUCGGAGACGCAAAGCCACGGGUCUACUUCAUCCCCUGCGGGAUGUUAGGACAGCCGGGCCGCUCAA
rnacentral:ncRNA from 1 species